UAACAAGGUCUCCGUUGGUGAACCAGCGGAGGGAUCAUUACUGAGUUUACGCUCUAUAACCCUUUGUGAACAUACCUAUAACUGUUGCUUCGGCGGGUAGGGUCUCCGCGACCCUCCCGGCCUCCCGCCUCCGGGCGGGUCGGCGCCCGCCGGAGGAUAACCAAACUCUGAUUUAACGACGUUUCUUCUGAGUGGUACAAGCAAAUAAUCAAAACUUUUAACAACGGAUCUCUUGGUUCUGGCAUCGAUGAAGAACGCAGCGAAAUGCGAUAAGUAAUGUGAAUUGCAGAAUUCAGUGAAUCAUCGAAUCUUUGAACGCACAUUGCGCCCGCCAGCAUUCUGGCGGGCAUGCCUGUUCGAGCGUCAUUUCAACCCUCAAGCUCUGCUUGGUGUUGGGGCCCUACAGCUGAUGUAGGCCCUCAAAGGUAGUGGCGGACCCUCCCGGAGCCUCCUUUGCGUAGUAACUUUACGUCUCGCACUGGGAUCCGGAGGGACUCUUGCCGUAAAACCCCCCAAUUUUCCAAAGGUUGACCUCGGAUCAGGUAGGAAUACCCGCUGAACUUAAGCAUAUC
rnacentral:rRNA from 1 species